rnacentral:rRNA from 1 species
GACGAACGCUGGCGGCGUGCUUAACACAUGCAAGUCGAACGGAAAGGCUCCUUCGGGGGUACUCGAGUGGCGAACGGGUGAGUAACACGUGGGUGAUCUGCCCUGCACUUCGGGAUAAGCCUGGGAAACUGGGUCUAAUACCGGAUAGGACUACGCACUGCAUGGUGUGUGGUGGAAAGCUUUUGCGGUGUGGGAUGGGCCCGCGGCCUAUCAGCUUGUUGGUGGGGUGAUGGCCUACCAAGGCGACGACGGGUAGCCGGCCUGAGAGGGUGUCCGGUCACACUGGGACUGAGAUACGGCCCAGACUCCUACGGGAGGCAGCAGUGGGGAAUAUUGCACAAUGGGCGCAAGCCUGAUGCAGCGACGCCGCGUGGGGGAUGACGGCCUUCGGGUUGUAACCGUCUUUCAGCCAUGACGAAGCUUUUCGGGUGACGGUAGUGGCAGAAGGAGCACCGGCC